GAUGAACGCUGGCGGCGUGCCUAAUACAUGCAAGUCGAACGGGGGGUAGCAAUACUCUUAGUGGCGAACGGGUGAGUAACGCGUUGGUACCUGCCCCGAAGCGGGGGAUAACGGACCGAAAGGUCCGCUAAUACCCCAUGUGCUCGGUAACGAGUAAAGGUGAAAACCACUUUGGGAGGGGCCUGCGUCCCAUCAGCUAGUUGGUAAGGUAACGGCUUACCAAGGCGAUGACGGGUAGGGGACCUGAGAGGGUGGCCCCCCACAAUGGAACUGAAACACGGUCCAUACACCUACGGGUGGCAGCAGUAGGGAAUAUUGGUAAUGGGCGCAAGCCUGAACCAGCAACGCCGCGUGUGCGAUGACGGCCUUCGGGUUGUAAAGCACUUUUGACUGGGACGAGGAAGGACGGUACCGGUCGAAUCAGCCUCGGCUAACUACGUG
rnacentral:rRNA from 1 species